rnacentral:rRNA from 1 species
GACAGAGGGUGCAAACGUUGUUCGGAAUUACUGGGCGUAAAAGCGAGUGUAGGCGGUGUGGUAAGUCGGAUGUGAAAGCCCCGGGCUCAACCCGGGAAGUGCACUCGAUACUGCCACGCUAGAGUAUCGGAGAGGUUGGUGGAAUUCUCGGUGUAGAGGUGAAAUUCGUAGAUAUCGAGAGGAACACCGGUGGCGAAGGCGGCCAACUGGACGAAUACUGACGCUGAGACUCGAAAGACGUGGGGAGCAAACAGG